GCAGACUCUCUGUCUUGGCUAGACGGACUGGGAUAGGAGGCAGCAGACUCUCUGUCUUGGCUAGACGGACUGAGAGACUGGGAUAGGAGGCAGCAGACUCUCUGUCUUGGCUAGACGGACUGAGAGACUGGGAUAGGAGGCAGCAGAGCUCUAUCUCUAUGGCUGUGUCUGAAGUGGCAACUUAUUCCCUAUAUAGUGCACUACUUUAGACCAGAGCUCAUAGGGAAUAGAAUGUAACCCAGAGACGGCCCAUAUUUACAUGUGUAUAAUGUAACCCAGAGACGGCCCGUGUUAACAUGUGUAGAAUGUAACCCAGAGACGGCCCAUGUUAACAUGUGUAGAAUGUAACCCAGAGACGGCCCAUAUUUACAUGUGUAGAAUGUAACCCAGAGACGGCCCAUGUUAACAUGUGUAGAAUGUAACCCAGAGACGGCCCAUGUUAACAUGUGUAGAAUGUAACCCAGAGACGGCCCAUGUGUAGCAUGUAACCCAGAGACGGCCCAUGUGUAGAAUGUAACCCAGAGACGGCCCAUGUGUAGAAUGUAACCCAGAGACGGCCCAUGUUAACAUGUGUAGAAUGUAACCCAACAUUAACAACCUGAUGAUUGAAAAGCGGUCGCCUGGAAUCACCAGUAGAAGUCAUGAAAACAGAACCUACAUUUAGUGGUGAGAAUGUUGAGACUCCGCCAGGGUUCUGUCGAGGGUUGAGACUCCGCCAGGGUUCUGUCGAGGGUUGAGACUCCGCCAGGGUUCUGUCGAGGGUUGAGACUCCGCCAGGGUUCUGUCGAGGGUUGAGACUCCGCCAGGGUUCUGUCGAGGGUUGAGACUCCCUAGGGUUCUGUCGAGGGUUGAGACUCCCGCCAGGGUUCUGUCGAGGGUUGAGACCCCGCCAGGGUUCUGUCGAGGGUUGAGACUCCCUAGGGUUCUGUCGAGGGUUGAGACCCCGCCAUGAAUGUCUGAAUCUCACAACUCAAGAGGAAUGGUGAACAAAAUGAUAAUUUAGCUCAUCCCAAAUGGCCCCCUUUUCCCCAUGGGCCCUGGUCUAAAGUAGUGCACUAUGUAGGGAAUAAGAUGCAUCUUGAGUAUGUAUGUGACAUUGGUUAUAAAACCAGCAGCAAGAUGUCUAGAUGAGGAUUGGGUCUAUUGCCACUUUAUUUGUUUGGCUUUCUAAUUAAUGUUUAUUACAUUGUUAGUUAUUUAUAACAUUGUUAUAACUGUGAAUAUGAUUACUAUAUUGUAUAAUUUGUAAUCAAUUACUUUUAUUUUAAUGUGUGACAUUUUGGCAAUAAACCAUGUUUAACUUGAUAGUUAAGUAGAAUCCUCAAAUUGCAAAUGGAAGGUUCCAGUUUAGUUCAGAGGUAGAAUGGGCGCAUCUCUAUCUCUCUGACGGUUGCAUUCAGUGCCUCUACGGAAGGGUGUAAUCUGUUUUAGACCAGGGUUGGGGGGUGUAAUCUGUUUUAGACCAGGGUUAGAGGGCGUAAUCUGUUUUAGACCAGGGUUGAAGGGUGUAAUCUGUUUUAGACCAGGGUUAGAGGGCGUAAUCUGUUUUAGACCAGGGUUGAAGGGUGUAAUCUGUUUUAGACCAGGGUUGAAGGGCGUAAUCUGUUUUAGACCAGGGUUGAAGGGUGUAAUCUGUUUUUUGACCAGGGUUGGAGAACAGUUUAACUAAACUCAUGAUGGAUCUCUAA